rnacentral:rRNA from 1 species
AUUGAACGCUGGCGGCAGGCCUAACACAUGCAAGUCGAACGGUAACAGGAAGAAGCUUGCUUCUUUGCUGACGAGUGGCGGACGGGUGAGUAAUGUCUGGGAAACUGCCUGAUGGAGGGGGAUAACUACUGGAAACGGUAGCUAAUACCGCAUAACGUCGCAAGACCAAAGAGGGGGACCUUCGGGCCUCUUGCCAUCGGAUGUGCCCAGAUGGGAUUAGCUUGUUGGUGGGGUAACGGCUCACCAAGGCGACGAUCCCUAGCUGGUCUGAGAGGAUGACCAGCCACACAGGAACUGAGACACGGUCCAGACUCCUACGGGAGGCAGCAGUGGGGAAUAUUGCACAAUGGGCGCAAGCCUGAUGCAGCCAUGCCGCGUGUAUGAAGAAGGCCUUCGGGUUGUAAAGUACUUUCAGCGGGGAGGAAGGGAGUAAAGUUAAUACCUUUGCUCAUUGACGUUACCCGCAGAAGAAGCACCGGCUAACUCCGUG